GAUGUGGUCGUGAUAUGGUUGUGAUUGAGACAGAUGAUGUGUAAUACUAUGAUGUGGUCGUGAUAUGGUUGUGAUUGAGACAGAUGAUGUGUAAUACUAUGAUGUGAUCGUGAUAUGAUUGUGAUUGAUGACAUGUGCAUAUUCAUUAUUCAUCCCAUGUGUGAACUAUCUGUUGCAUGAGUUCUGAGACACUGAUAUGAGGAUGGAUGGAUAUGAGACACGGUUGAGACUAGCGAUUUGGAUGCCGAUGGCAUCUGGUUCCGGCUAGCGAUUUGGAUGCCGAUGGGAUCUGGUUCCGGCGGUGAUACAUGGUCCAUGUGUGGCCCCCAUGGGUUCUGAUUUGAGUAUUCAGCGCGGACUGAUUACGUCAACAGAUGUGUAUCGUAGGACAGAC
rnacentral:lncRNA from 1 species